ensembl:lncRNA
GAAUGAAUGAGUGAAUGAAAAUUAUGAAGUGUUUACAACAUAUUAAGCACUGGGACACAGAUAGAAGAAUGGAAGGAGCCACCCAAGCGGGCCAUUCGGGGAGGGUUCGUCCAUGCAGGAUACAUACUGUGCACUCAUAGCUUCUGGCUUGCAAACGGACAACGAGGGAGAUGCCCACUUUUUUACUCCACUAAUUUAAAUGGUGAGAAGCCUCCCAGCCUAGUUGUGGAACAGCUCCAAAGAGCCCCUGGCUGAGCUGCGUGUCCAAGGCCCCUCCGACACCUCCAGCGAAGGAUUCAGAGAGGAGCGUAGUCCGAGCUCCACAGUAUACCGGAUGUUACCCAUGAUGAUGGAGUCUUUUCAGCUGCAUUGGGAAGGUGGCUCCAACACCGCCCCCCCACCUCAGGGAAUCCAGGUACCUCAUGAGCCCCAGGUUAAUGGAGCGACAGACACAGCCAGGUCACGUGAUGACAAAAACGAAUGGACAAAAGCCUUUUUCACUUACACCGGCUUGUUCAGCUACCACCGUUAGCCGUGUGUUCUGCCUGAACUCCUUAAACGAAGACGAAGCCACUGCAGAGCACAGCUAAAGUGACACCUCCUGUUGUUAUCCAGCGUGUCGUACUCUUCAUGACCCCAUCUGGGACUUUCUUGGAAGAAAUACUAGACUGGUUUGCAAUUUCCUUCUUCAGCUCAUUUUGCAGAUGUGGAAACUGAGGUAAACAGGGAAAAAUGAUUUGCCCAGGGUCACACAGCUAGUGUCUGAGGCCAGAUUUGAACCCAGGUCUGCUUGAUUCCAGGUCUGGAUCUCUUUCACUGCACCACCACCUAGCUACCUGCCUCUUACAGGAUGCUUUUCCUGAUCCCCUCUACCAUUAUUUUUCUCUCUCUUGAGAAACAACUUUGUAUUACUUUAUAUUCACUUACGUAACUACUCUGUUCUCUCCUACACUCGAAUCAGAAUGUAAGACCCUAGGGACCAGGAUGAUUUUGUUUGGGUCUUCGUGUGGCUCCUAGAACAGUGCCCGUCACACGCUGCUGAACUGAACUGAGCUGGUAAGAGAGCGUAGCAACUAGUACCCACCCGGUGGUCUUCCAUUGCCCGUUGUUUUCCUCUUUUCCCCUCCAUUUUGGUUCUUCCCAGAUUGUGGCAUUCUAUAGCUCCUGGCAACACACACAGGGAACUCACCAACCAACUUAUAUUUCCAAAGGAGAUUGUAACACCAGAUGAUGGGAACAAGGAACAAUGCAGGAUGAUGACAAAGGACCAGCUUGGCCCUGGAGGCAUAUGGAGGAAAGCCAAAGCUCAGAAUGGGGCUAGGAAGGUUGAGAGUGUGGCUGACUGCUUAAACUGUGUUGGAGGAAGAACAGGAUCAAAUAGGGGAUGGAAUCACUGUUCGGGAUGGAAGGAGUAAUGGGGGAGGAGACAGAAAGAUAGAGAGAGGAAAAAAAGAGAGAAGAAAGGAGAGACAGAGAGAGGGGAGAAAGGAGGAGAGAGGAGACAGAGAGACAGGAGGGAGAGAGAGAGACAGAGGAACAGAGAGAGAGAGAGGAGGGAGAGAUUGAAAGAUUGAGAGAGACAGAGAGAGAGAGAGACUAGAAAAAAGAAAAAAAAACGGUGGCGUAUUCAAGCUGAGACACAGCCAGGUGGCACAGAGGAUCCAUUGCAGGACCUCAGAUAUUACCCCAUGCACUUACCACCCAUUCAAGUCAUUUAGGUCACUUAUCUCCCUCGGCUUGCUUCCUCAUUGGUUAAAUGGAGAUAAUAGCACCAGCCUCACUCAUUGCAGAAAGAACCAAACAAAACAACAUAUGUAAAGUUCUUUGUAAACCUUAGAGCACUACAUGAAAGCACUAGCUGUCAUCAUCAUCAUCAUCAUCAUCAUCAUCAUCAUUUAAACGACACAUAGCUCAUUGAGCUUGACUUCAGUUUCUGACAAAAUUCAGGAGCAUUUCAUUCAAGGGAUGGUUAGUGGAUACCUAGAAAAGGAAGCAGUGACCACAAAGUGCUAGUGUGGCUUUAUCAGAAAAGUCAUUCCAGACUCCCCUCAUUCCUGUUUUUGACAGGGUUCGUGUCAUCGACAUAACAAAUCAGAAUUUCAGCCAAGUCCCUCAUGCUGUUCUUUUGGAAAAUGUGAAGAAAUAUGGGUCAGAUGAUAAACUUUGGGUAUGUUUGGAACUGAUCGAAUGCCUGGACCCUGGGAGGAUGCAUCCUUGAGUCAAUCACAGGAAAGUCUCUAGUAGAGUGCCCCAGGUCUCUGCCUGGGCCUUGUGCUGCUCAUUUUUAAGGAGAUGUCUUGCCUGAUGGCAACACUCAAAAGAUUCUUGAACAAAGUUCUCUCUGUAAUUACAUGUGUCGUACAAUUUUUUAAAAGAUUAACAGAUGCAUGAGGGAUACAUUUUAAAAUCUGUUAGAGUCACAUUUUGUUUAACCAAAUCUGAUCCUUUGAAAAAACUAACAAAAAUAAAUAAAUAAGCACAGUGGAA